GAGAAGCGUCCUCAGCGACG
rnacentral:snRNA from 1 species